GACAGAGGAUGCAAGCGUUAUCCGGAAUGAUUGGGCGUAAAGCGUCUGUAGGUGGCUUUUAAGUCCGCCGUCAAAUCCCAGGGCUCAACCCUGGACAGGCGGUGGAAACUACCAAGCUGGAGUACAGUAGGGGCAGAGGGAAUUCCGGGUGGAGCGGUGAAAUGCGUAGAGAUCGGAAAGAACACCAACGGCGAAAGCACUCUGCUGGGCCGACACUGACACUGAGAGACGAAAGCUAGGGGAGCGAAUGGG
rnacentral:rRNA from 1 species